AAAAGAUGGUUCUGCUAUCACUCUUGGAUGGACCUGCGGUGCAUUAGCUAGUUGGUAAGGUAACGGCUUACCAAGGCAAUGAUGCAUAGCCGAGUUGAGAGACUGAUCGGCCACAUUGGGACUGAGACACGGCCCAAACUCCUACGGGAGGCAGCAGUAGGGAAUCUUCCACAAUGGACGCAAGUCUGAUGGAGCAACGCCGCGUGAGUGAAGAAGGGUUUCGGCUCGUAAAGCUCUGUUGGUAGUGAAGAAAGAUAGAGGUAGUAACUGGCCUUUAUUUGACGGUAAUUACCUAGAAAGUCACGGCUAACUACGUGCCAGCAGCCGCGGUAAUACGUAGGUGGCAAGCGUUGUCCGGAUUUAUUGGGCGUAAAGCGAGUGCAGGCGGUUCAAUAAGUCUGAUGUGAAAGCCUUCGGCUCAACCGGAGAAUUGCAUCAGAAACUGUUGAACUUGAGUGCAGAAGAGGAGAGUGGAACUCCAUGCGUAGCGGUGGAAUGCGUAGAUAUAUGGAAGAACACCAGUGGCGAAGGCGGCUCUCUGGUCUGCAACUGACGCUGAGGCUCGAAAGCAUGGGUAGCGAACAGGAUUAGAUACCCUGGUAGUCCAUGCCGUAAACGAUGAGUGCUAAGUGUUGGGAGGUUUCCGCCUCUCA
rnacentral:rRNA from 1 species